UACGGAGGAUGCAAGCGUUAUCCGGAUUCAUUGGGUUUAAAGGGUGCGUAGGCGGAAUAAUAAGUCAGUGGUGAAAGCCUGUGGCUCAACCAUAGAAUUGCCGUUGAUACUGUUAUUCUUGAGUAUAGUUGAAGUGGGCGGAAUGUGUAAUGUAGCGGUGAAAUGCUUAGAUACUACACAGAACACCAAUUGCGAAGGCAGCUCACUAAGCUGUAACUGACGCUGAGGCACGAAAGCGUGGGUAUCAAACAGG
rnacentral:rRNA from 1 species